UAGGUGGAGGCUAUUUUGAUGAUAGUGCCACGUUUUGGUACAUAAACCUGUCCUAUCGGGAUGGCUGUAAGAAGAAACUGAAACUACAGCUAAUCAAACAUUUCUGAAAAAACACCACCAAUCUGAACAUCAGAUUACUGAGGUCAUGGCUUCUGGAGUGACACAUUCCACUGUUGUUUUUUUGUGGGUGUAAACAUGAGGCAAAAGGAGUGGGAAUCUGUCCAAACCAACCAGGUGACACAUGCCCAGUGCUGGAU
rnacentral:lncRNA from 1 species